GAUGAACGCUGGCGGCGUGCUUAACACAUGCAAGUCGAACGAAUUUUAAGGAGCUUGCUCCUUAAAGUUAGUGGCGGACGGGUGAGUAACGCGUGGGUAACCUGCCCUAUGCAGGGGGAUAACGUUUGGAAACGAACGCUAAUACCGCAUAAACUAUGGAUGUUCGCAUGAAAAUUAUAGUAAAGAUUUAUCGGCAUAGGAUGGACCCGCGUUGGAUUAGCUAGUGGGUGAGGAAAUAGACACCCAAUGCAAUGAUCCAUAGCCGGCCUGGGAGGGUGAACGGCCACAUUGGGACUUAGACACGGCCCAAACGCCUACGGGGGGCAGCAGUGGGGAAUAUUGGGCAAUUGGGGCAACCCUGAUCCAGCGAUGCCGCGUGAGUGAAGAAGGCCUUCGGGUCGUAAAGCUCUUUAGGUUGGGAAGAAGGGUAUUGGCUGAAUAAUCCAGUACUUUGACGGUACCGACAGAAUAAGCACCGGCAAACUCUGU
rnacentral:rRNA from 1 species